AGAGUUUGAUCAUGGCUCAGGAUGAACGCUAGCGGGAGGCCUAACACAUGCAAGCCGAGCGGUAUUGUUUCUUCGGAAAUGAGAGAGCGGCGUACGGGUGCGGAACACGUGUGCAACCUGCCUUUAUCUGGGGGAUAGCCUUUCGAAAGGAAGAUUAAUACUCCAUAAUAUAUUGAACGGCAUCGUUUAAUAUUGAAAGCUCCGGCGGAUAGAGAUGGGCACGCGCAAGAUUAGCUAGUUGGUGAGGUAACGGCUCACCAAGGCGAUGAUCUUUAGGGGGCCUGAGAGGGUGAUCCCCCACACUGGUACUGAGACACGGACCAGACUCCUACGGGAGGCAGCAGUGAGGAAUAUUGGUCAAUGGGUGCAAGCCUGAACCAGCCAUCCCGCGUGAAGGACGACUGCCCUAUGGGUUGUAAACUUCUUUUGUAUAGGGAUAAACCUACCCUCGUGAGGGUAGCUGAAGGUACUAUACGAAUAAGCACCGGCUAACUCCGUGCCAGCAGCCGCGGUAAUACGGAGGGUGUAAGCGUUAUCCGGAUUUAUUGGGUUUAAAGGGUCCGUAGGCGGACUUAUAAGUCAGUGGUGAAAGCCUGUCGCUUAACGAUAGAACUGCCAUUGAUACUGUAAGUCUUGAGUAUAUUUGAGGUAGCUGGAAUAAGUAGUGUAGCGGUGAAAUGCAUAGAUAUUACUUAGAACACCAAUUGCGAAGGCAGGUUACCAAGAUAUAACUGACGCUGAGGGACGAAAGCGUGGGGAGCGAACAGGAUUAGAUACCCUGGUAGUCCAA
rnacentral:rRNA from 1 species